ACACUCUAGAAUGGUAACGCUAGAUAUGGCGCAUGCUCAUGGGGUCCCUCGCUGGGGCAGGGAUUCGGGGCCGUGGCAGCCAAACUGGAGGGGCUUGUGGAGUCAGAGGUGUUGGCUAUCUCCUCCGCUUUGGCUGGUGGGGCCCUUGAAAGUUAAGCAUCCAAUAAGCUAUUACGCCUCGGAAAAAACCCUGUGAAUAACAGUUGCACUAAUGCCAUUGAAUGCCUGUUUUCAUGCAAUAUAGAGUGCCCCCGGGGUACUGGGCCGCAGCUCAGAUGAGGACCACUGGACACUAGUGCGUAUAUAUCUCUCACACAAUCACAGUGUCUAGCGGUCUUUCACCCUUAUGCUCCGCAGCAACUGAGCAAAAUCAGAGGUUGCCCUUAACCUAAGACACUUAAAAAAAAAAAAAAUUUUCUCCAACUACCUAUACUGCCCCCCCCCCCCACGAGAUAUAAAGGAAGCGUUGGGCACCCAACCAGAUGGCAGGCUGCAUCUGACGCCUCGCACAGAGGCACAGUGGAUUGGUGAGCCUCCCACCCCGGAAUAGGACAGAAUUCUGGCCAGCGGGGGGGAGACUUAUCCCCAUUCUAUUCUGGCAAAUUGUAAGACCAGACUGAAAGUACAUCACUACAUAUGUUUUUAUCAACCUUGUUAUAUGGUUCAUAAUUAUGUUAUAUUUUUGUUUAUGUUUAUGGUUUUCGGUUCACUAUGCACGAGUGAAAUGUUAAUCCUGAUACACCAAAGAGACCGCCGGACAACAGAGACAGAAAGGGGGGGGACCAACAGAAUCCUGACAGGUAUGGACCCUCUGCCCCACACACACGAGCAUCCCAUAAGACAAACCCAACCAUGACGUUAAAAUUUUUAUCAAUGAACGCGAAAGGACUAAACACUCCUACCAAACGCAGACUAUUAUUACGAGAAUUAAAAGCAAAAAGGGCCGACAUAGCGCUUAUACAGGAGACGCACAUUCCUAAAGCCGCACCAAUCAAACUAGGAGACCGUCUCUACACCACAACACACGAGGCCAGGGCACCUCGCAAACAAGCAGGAGUAGCUAUACUCCUACACAAACGCUGCCCAUUUAUAAUGACCCAUAAACAGAUAGACCCAGAAGGCAGAUUCGUAACCAUAAGUG